rnacentral:rRNA from 1 species
AUACGGAAGGUCCAGGCGUUAUCCGGAUUUAUUGGGUUUAAAGGGAGCGCAGGCCGGUGUGUAAGCGUGACGUCAAAUACAGCCGCUCAACGGUUGUCCGCGUCGCGAACUGCAUGCCUUGAGUACGCUGCAAGUGGGCGGAAUUCGUGGUGUAGCGGUGAAAUGCUUAGAUAUCACGAAGAACUCCGAUUGCGAAGGCAGCCCGCUGUUGCGUCACUGACGCUGAGGCUCGAAGGUGCGGGUAUCGAACAGGAUUAGAUACCCUGGUAGUCCGCACUGUAAACGAUGGACACCCGCUGUGUGGCCUUUUUUGGUUGCGCGGCCAAGCGAAAGCAUUAAGUGUCCCACCUGGGGAGUACGCCGGCAACGGUGAAACUCAAAGGAAUUGACGGGG